rnacentral:tRNA from 1 species
UGGCACAUAGCUGCAAUUGAAAUGGUUGCGCACCGUCUUGGGGUGUCGGGGGUCGGAGGUUCAAAUCCUCUCGUGCCGACCA